GGUGUGUGCUCAGAGCAGGUGGCCUGAAGAAUGGCUUCUCUGUUUACAACACAUGCAACAGGAAUCUAGGGUCAUUAUGACAAAGGACACAAAACUUUUGACCUCCCUUUGAGCAAAUGUUCUCCACAU
ensembl:snoRNA small nucleolar RNA SNORA11